UUUAAUAUACUUUCUACUACGCUUAGCCGUUCGCCGGCUUCGUGCAUCGAGUCAACUAUAAACUAGAAGUUACUAUCGAAAGGCAAGUGCUGCCUUAAAUUCUUGUGAAAUUAGGCAAUAUAGAAUGAUUAGCUUAAUCUUUUCGAGACAGGUUCAACAUGGCAAUAUUUUCUUAUACUAGUUGCAAACGGAUUUUACACAGAGGUAUAAAAAGAAUAAAAAAUAGUCAGAAUAAAUAAAGGGAAAAAAAAUAUUGUGAGUAUGCUACAAAACAUGAGUUCAACUGGAUUUGAACUCAAAAUUUUAUCGAGACAGGCCAAACAAUAUACCACUAAGCCAUCAGUGGACGACUUGUAAUUCUGGUAAAAUUAAAAACGUACACAAGUACAUUGUUGUGACCUGCUCGUGUCAUGAGGUGAAUCUCAUUUCGGGCAAAAUGAAAAAAAAAUUGUUAUAGACCGACUUAGAAAGGUUCAAAACGCAUAUUGUUGCAGAAAGUUUUGGCACAGGGGAAUUUUAAUGCGCAUUUUGAUAUAAAAAAAUGCGUAGCCGCGCUUAGC